GACGAACGCUGGCGGCGUGCUUAACACAUGCAAGUCGAACGGAAAGGCCCUGCUUUUGUGGGGUGCUCGAGUGGCGAACGGGUGAGUAACACGUGAGUAACCUGCCCUUGACUUUGGGAUAACUUCAGGAAACUGGGGCUAAUACCGGAUAGGAGCUCCUGCUGCAUGGUGGGGGUUGGAAAGUUUCGGCGGUUGGGGAUGGACUCGCGGCUUAUCAGCUUGUUGGUGGGGUAGUGGCUUACCAAGGCUUUGACGGGUAGCCGGCCUGAGAGGGUGACCGGCCACAUUGGGACUGAGAUACGGCCCAGACGCCUACGGGAGGCAGCAGUGGGGAAUAUUGCAGAAUGGGCGGAAGCCUGAUGCAGCAACGCCGCGUGCGGGAUGACGGCCUUCGGGUGGUAAACCGCUUUCGCCUGUGACGAAGCGUGAGUGACGGUAAUGGGUAAAGAAGCACCGGCUAACUACGUG
rnacentral:rRNA from 1 species